rnacentral:rRNA from 1 species
GAUGAACGCUGGCGGCGUGCCUAAUACAUGCAAGUCGAGCGAACAGACGAGGAGCUUGCUCCUCUGACGUUAGCGGCGGACGGGUGAGUAACACGUGGAUAACCUACCUAUAAGACUGGGAUAACUUCGGGAAACCGGAGCUAAUACCGGAUAAUAUAUUGAACCGCAUGGUUCAAUAGUGAAAGACGGUUUUGCUGUCACUUAUAGAUGGAUCCGCGCCGCAUUAGCUAGUCGGUAAGGUAACGGCUUACCAAGGCAACGAUGCGUAGCCGACCUGAGAGGGUGAUCGGCCACACUGGAACUGAGACACGGUCCAGACUCCUACGGGAGGCAGCAGUAGGGAAUCUUCCGCAAUGGGCGAAAGCCUGACGGAGCAACGCCGCGUGAGUGAUGAAGGUCUUCGGAUCGUAAAACUCUGUUAUUAGGGAAGAACAAAUGUGUAAGUAACUAUGCACGUCUUGGCGGUACCUAAUCAGAAAGCCACGGCUAACUACGUG